rnacentral:rRNA from 1 species
GAUGUAUUUUACUCUCACCCGCCAGGGGACUACAGCAUCAGCUUAAAACCCAAAGGACUUGGCGGUGCUUUAUACCCAUCUAGAGGAGCCUGUUCUAGAACCGAUAAUCCUCGUUAAACCUCACCCUCUCUCGCCCCAUCCGCUUAUAUACCGCCGUCGUCAGCUUACCCUUCAAAGGACCCAAAGUGAGCAAAACUAGUUUAACUCAAAACGUCAGGUCAAGGUGUAGCACAUGAGAGGGAAGAAAUGGGCUACAUUCGUUAAUUUAACGUACAACGAAAAAUUUGUUGAAACACAAAUAUGAAGGAGGAUUUAGCAGUAAGAAGGAAAUAGAGUGUCC